GAUAACGCUGGCGGCGUGCAUAACACUUGCAAGUCGAACGAUGAAACUUAGAUGAUUUCUUCGGAAUGAACUUAAGCGGAUUAGUGGCGAACGGGUGAGUAACACGUGAGUAACCUGCCUUACACAAGGGGAUAGCCUUUGGAAACGAAGAAUAAUACCCUAUAACGUCAAUUUAUCGCAUGAUAGAAUGACCAAAGAUUUAUCGGUGUAAGAUGGACUUGCGUCUGAUUAGCUAGUUGGUGAGAUAAAGGCCCACCAAGGCAACGAUCAGUAGCCGGCUUGAGAGAGUGUACGGCCACAUUGGGACUGAGACACGGCCCAAACUCCUACGGGAGGCAGCAGUGGGGAAUUUUGCACAAUGGGGGAAACCCUGAUGCAGCGACGCCGCGUGAUUUAGAAGGCCUUCGGGUUGUAAAAAUCUUUUUUAUGGGAUGAAAAUGACAGUACCAUAAGAAUAAGGUCCGGCUAAAUACGUGCCAGCAGCCGCGGUAAUACGUAUGGACCGAGCGUUGUCCGGAAUCAUUGGGCGUAAAGGGUACGUAGGCGGCCCAGUAAGUUAGAAGUGAAAUAAUAUAGCUCAACUAUAUAAAGCUUUUAAAACUGCUAGGCUUGAGAGAUGGAAGGGAAAGUGGAAUUCCUAGUGUAGCGGUGAAAUGCGCAGAUAUUAGGAAGAAUACCGGUGGCGAAGGCGACUUUCUGGUCAUCAUCUGACGCUGAGGUACGAAAGCGUGGGUAGCAAACAGGAUUAGAUACCCUGGUAGUCCACGCUGUAAACGAUGAGUGUUAGGUUCUUGGAAUAAUCUGGGAGCCGCAGCUAACGCAUUAAACACUCCGCCUGGGGAGUACGCACGCAAGUGUG
rnacentral:rRNA from 1 species